UCCGGCUUAUCACCGGCAGUUUCUUUAGAGUGCCCAACUAAAUGGUGGCAACUAAAGACGAGGGUUGCGCUCGUUGCGGGACUUAACCCAACAUCUCACGACACGAGCUGACGACAGCCAUGCAGCACCUGUCUCCGGUCCAGCCGAACUGAAGGGAUCGAUCUCUCGUUCCCGCGACCGGGAUGUCAAGGCCUGGUAAGGUUCUUCGCGUUGCCUCGAAUUAAACCACAUGCUCCACCGCUUGUGCGGGUCCCCGUCAAUUUCUUUGAGUUUUAACCUUGCGGCCGUACUCCCCAGGCGGGAUGCUUAAUGCGUUGGCUACGUCACUAAGGGGAAACCCCCUAACAACUAGCAUCCAUCGUUUACAGCGCGGACUAC
rnacentral:misc_RNA from 1 species